GAGGAUCAAAUCCUUGACCAUUUAAACUAACCCUUCAGCUAUUUUUAAACUAACCCUUCAGUUAUUUUUAAACAGAGGGGUAAAGUGGUAAUUUUUCAAGACGCACUUCGCUACCUCUCCUUUUUAAUUGAGGUUAAAUCUUGUAGUAGUCUAUAAAUAAUUUCACAUCGGUUAUUUCAUAUAAUCGUGGUUAUAGGUAGCGCGCUUUUUAGUUGACUACAAUGGACAAUAGACAAUGAUUGUAAAUAAGAUACUUACAACUACACGCUACCUAACAAUAGACGUUCAACCAUUACUAUAUGUCUUUUCUAACAGUUUUCAUAUGUAUUUUUUGUAUAAGUGAUCAUGUUUUCUCCUUCAAUUACCUUUUCCUUUGCAUACCUCAUGCUUCAGGGAUGUUGGAUCAUCAUGGCUUCACUCAUAGCAACUUCACCUCUUGCAUGUCUUAUGCGUGAGAGAAUCUGAAGUAUCAUGUCUUUGCUCCUAACCACUUUUCUCCUUGCACGCCUCGUGCUUGAGAGACUGCACUACGUCAUGUCUCUACCCUCCACCACUUCUCCCCUUUCAUAUCUCACAUUCAUACCAAAAAGAGUCUAUUAAAUUUUAAGUGAUUUGUGUUUAAUUAUUAGGUGGAUAAAAUGAAAAUGUUCUCCACCAUUCACUAUUUUCUAUGAACGAACAAUGUAAUAAGAAUUAAUAAUAUAAUAAAUCACUUUUGAGUUUUUCACAUGAAAAUAUUGGUAAUGAUUGAUGCUUAUUAUUUUUUUACAUAAUUUCGUUACUGUUCAAAAAUAUUUUAUAACAAAAAAUUCUUUCAGUAGCCAUAAAUAAUUAAUCAUAAGUAUUCAAUCCAAGACAACAAUUUAGUUGAGACAAAAAUUUACUUGCAGAAAUUUAUCUAAGAAACUUUUGUUUGUUGUAAUUCAAAUUCAAUUUCAUUUGUUUUUAAUUUAACUCAUAUUUGAAUUGCAUUUAGUUUAGACUUGUAUAUAAGCUAAAGUUUAGUUCAAAGUUGUAAUAGGAUUUUAUUGUAACUGUUUUUAAUUUUGAGAGUCAAAGUUAGUUACAACAUUUUCUCUUUUUUCCAUCUUCUUCAUAUUCAAUCUUGUAUUCCAAUAAUUGGUAUCUAAAGUUUCGGUUCAGAUUCAGGAACGGGGAUCACGAGUAUACAUGAGGCGUUUGUGAUUGAUUUUGUUUAUGAAAUUCACAGUGAAUUGAAGUUCGAAACAAAAACAUAAUCAUAUUUCUUAAUUUUAAGGGAUUUAAAAACACGAGUGUUGGUGAGAAAUGGACCACCCAAUUCUCCAAACUGACAUAUUUAUGCUACGAGAAAUGGAGUCUCUUGAUCAACAAAUUGAUCAAAAUAUCUUAGAUAAAUUUCAGCGUAGAAGUUAGUCCCGCAAAGAGGCAUAUAAAUAUAAAUGACAAUUUUAACAUAACUUUAUUUUCAAAGGCAUCUUAAGUUUUUAACUACUCAGUGAAAUUAAUCGAAAUAUAAUUAUAAUAAAAUAAAUAGAGACACUAUUGACAAUAGUUUAACUGUAAAUAAUAUUUUAUAAAAUUCUAUUUAUCCAUAAUUUAACCGAGAUAAAGUUUGAGCCAUUGCCAAAUACUUUCUCAAAGACGGUUCUAUUCAUUUUUAAUCAUUAAUAUUAUUUAUAACUAUAUAUUAUAUAAAUAUUAUCUAUAUAGAAUUAUUUAAAUUUAAUUAUGGUCAACAUAUCUUAAAUUUAUUAUAAUUUUUAUAAAUAAUAAGAUUUAUAAUGUAUAUAUCAUUUGACAACCGUAUGCUAAAUGCAAAAAGGGAAUAACUAAUUAGUCAAAUUAAUCAAAUACUCAUUUUAUUUUUAUAUUUUCAGUAUCUUCUAUGAGUAAACGAAUAUAACAACAAUUAUAUAAUAUAAUAAGAUACUUUUGAGAUUUUUCAAAAAAAUAAAAAGGUAAUAGAAAUGCAAAUGAAAUUGUGAGAGAUAUUAUAAAAGUACCGAUAUUUAUUAUAACAUACAAAUAAAAUAACUCUCUUUAAAGUAGUAUAUAAUUAUAUUUUAAAUAUUUUCAACACUUCUACGCACUCACAAUAAAAAAAAACGCACUUCCGUUUUAAAGGACGGUGACACGCUCUGUUUCGACAAUCAACGUCGGUUUGGCAAGGGAAUCGCUGAACUGCGAUGUAAAAGAAAUCAUAUUGUUCAAUUUAGUGAUCAAGUAAUGUAUGUAUGAUAAUAACAAUAAAUUUUAAAAUGAUGAGAGUAAAUGACUUACAGAUUGUGGGUCUACCUUCGGCGGCAUUGACGCCUGUGAUUACAACAAGAAACAAGAAACAAAAUAUUAUGAAAUAAUAACCACAUCUAGGAAUUUUACCCAUAUAUAUUUCCUCUUAAGCAUCUAAAUUGAAAAUUUUACUUGAAAAGUAUUUUUUUAAAUAGUUUUUUUAAUGAUAAUUAAUUAAGUAGAUGCCAUUACUUUAUAGUAGCAAAAAGACAAUCAUAAUAUUUUAGUUUUUGUUAUAUUUUUCUUUUUGUUAAAUGUCUCUUGGAUAUAUAAAAUAUCAUGUUUGUCUCUUAAGCUCAUUGAUUCAAUCACUUAAAUUUAAAGAGUUGAUUGAGAAUUUCUUAUUUUGAAUACAAUGUAUAUGUUUGAAAAAUCGAAUGAUACUGAAAAGAAGCUUGAUAAUUUAAUACGUGAAAGAAAAUUAACUUGAAUUUAAGAUGUCGAGAGAGAAGCUCUCAUCUCUCUCUAGAAACCUAUCAACCAUAAACAGUUUUUCAAUCCUCACUAUUAAAAAAUAGACCUUUUCAUAACAUCAUAUUUAUCAUGGUCUUUCCGUUAACAGUUGUAAUAGUUCUUUUUUGGAUGCUUUUUUUAUUUAUUUACGAAAGGACAUUUCACAACGGUCAUAGGUAUCAACCAUAGUGAAAGGUAUCUGGAGUGAAAUUGUUAGAAUCCCAACACAAACAAUUUUCUAUUUAUCAUGAUUUAAUGUGUUUGACUUGUAUAUCACCACAAUUUUUAUAAUCAAUCAUGUUGUAAGUUUCAAUCAUUUCAUCACGGUUCGUAUUGUCAACCUUGGUGAAAGAUAUUACUUAUUUAUAUAUAAACGAAAUUAUCCCUCUUUUUAGUCCAUUACAACCGUCUCUCUCAAAACAAAACCCUAACAUCUCUUUCACUCGUUUCUCUCAAAACUAAAUCUUAACAUCUUUGUCACUCAUCUCUCUCAUAUUGAAACUCCAAUCUUAUCCAGCCAACUCGUCUUCUUCGAAGGUUUCUUUUCUUUUAUCAUAUCUUAGCAAAUGACUACUUUACAGGUUCGUCUUCACUAUAGUUUAUGUUCCAAAAUCUGUUUAUCUAUUAUUGUUUAUGUUUCAUCAUGUUUGAAGUUUUUACCUGUUUCAUUAUGUAGGUGGGGAUGCUUGUUUCAAUAACAAGGACAAAGCUAAAGUGAGCGUUACAAAUUUUUGUGCAAGAUCCAGAAUGACAUCCAUUCAAAAUAGACACGAGUUUGCCGCUCUAACUUCAGCUUCAUCCUUAUUUCAUUGUGGAUGUCAUUAUGGGACAUGUAAGUUUCUGAAACGUUCUAUGAGUUGAUACGUUUGUUGUAUCAUGUAUGUUGUUUAUGGUUUGUUGUUUCUGAAUGUUAUUGUUAAUAUUCAUUUAAAAGAUGAGUUUAUUAUAUAUUAUGUGGUUUGAGUGUUUUUCCAGUUCCUUACCAAAUCUAUAACUUUUCAGAUUGCAUUAGAAAACUCUAACAUGAUAGAUAAAUUUAUAUUAGAAAAUAAGUACACGUUUAAUUCUUGACAAUAAUUCUUUAGUUUGUUAUCAACAUAUUAUUCUUUAACCAUUAGAACUUUAUUUAGUGAUUGUAGAUCUUCAACCUCCCAUCUCUGCACCUCUAAUUUUAUUUGUAAAAUAAAUAAUAUUUUGUAAAAUGAACUAGAGUUGUAUGAAGGGACGGUUGAAUAUCUACAAUCAUUAAACAAAGUUUUAACUGUUAAAAAAAAUACGGAUAAGGAGCUGAAGAACUCUUGUCAAGCAUUGAACGUGAACUUGUUCUUCAAAUAUAACUUAAUUUAUCGUAUUAUAAUGUUCUAGAUCAAAUUGAAAGAUUAUAUGUUUAGUGAGCAUUGGCAAAAUAAGCAUUCCACAUAAUUUAUAAUAAACUCAGGUGUAUAUAUCACAAUAGUUGUUUAUACCAAACGUUGUUAAAUAUUAUGCAUUAUAGAAUAUCACCAUGAAAUGUUUAAAGUAACAGUUGUGGUAGGUAGCACGUUACAUAGCUUAUAAUCACAGUCGCACGACCGUGGUGGAAAACAUCGUGCAUACAAUCACAAUUUACCUCACAACGGUUAGUUCAGCGUGGUGGUAUCCUUUUUCCAACCGUUGAGAAAUAUAUUUUCUGUAGUAGUGCAUAAUUUGUUAUCAUCACUACUACGGAAAAUUCCUCUCGUAACGGUUGGAAAAUGAAUACUAUCACGGUAUACCAACCAUUGUGAGGUAUGGUAUGGUUGUAAGUAUGUUAUUUUCCGCCACGAGCGUGUGACCGUUGUGAUAAAUUAGGUAGUGCAUCAUAUAUCACAACAGUUAGAAUAAACAACCAUUGUGCAAUAUAUAUAGAGGUCAUGGGUUUGAAACCCAAUGAUUUUAUGAUAUCUAAUUAAUUGACACGCUACUUAUUACAAUGGUUAUUGUAAAUAAUCAUUGUGAAAUACUUUAUUUUUUAUUUUAUUUUAUUUUAUUUUUUCAUAUAUUACAAACAUAUUUUUUUACGUGUAUUUUAUACAUAUAUUACCUAAAUAUUUUUUACAUCAAUGUCAAAAAUAUUAUUUACAAACAAAUAUGUAUAUACCAUU
rnacentral:lncRNA from 1 species